rnacentral:sRNA from 1 species
CGAAGAAGGGCUUGGCGGAGGGGAAAGACAGUCGUCUUUCCUUUGCCCGCUUCUGUGGACUGUUCGAACGCCCAGGGGUGGGCCAAACCCGUUUCUUAGGAAACCAGGGAUCCAGGGCAGGCAGAAUGGCUUCCUUUGGGUGGAAGAGGAAAAUUGGUGAGAAGGUCUCAAAGGUCACUUCCCAGCAGUUUGAAGCUGAAGCUGCUGAUGAGAAGGAUGUAGUUGACAACGAUGAAGGAAACUGGCUUCAUGCCAUUAAACGUAGGAAAGAAAUUCUUCUUGAAGGCUGUGCUGAGAAAAGUAAACAGCUGAAGGAUGAAGGAGCCAGUUUGGCUGAAAAUAAAAGAUAUCGGGAGGCAAUUCAGAAGUGGGAUGAAGCACUACAGUUAACUCCAAAUGAUGCUACCCUAUACGAGAUGAAAUCACAGGCAAUUCGAAGUUUUCAAGUAGCCCUUCACAUCUAUCCAAUGAACCCUGAAAUAUGGAAAGAAGACCUCUCUUGGGCAAGAACGCUCCAGGAGCAGCAGAAGGUAGCACAGAGGAUUAAAAAAAGUGAAGCACCAGCUGAAGUAACACACUUUUCACCAAAGUCAAUUCCAGACUAUGACUUUGAAAGUGAUGAGAUUGUUGCUGUUUGUGCGGCUAUUGCUGAGAAAGAGAAGACAGUUUCAGCAAAUAAAACAAUGGUUAUUGUGUCGGCUUCUGGGGCCGUAGAGACUGUAACUGAAAAGGAGGAUGGUGCUACACCACCAGAUGGCUCUGUUUUUAUCAAAGCCCGAUGA